GAUGAACGCUGGCGGCGUGCCUAAUACAUGCAAGUCGAGCGAACAGACGAGGAGCUUGCUCCUCUGACGUUAGCGGCGGACGGGUGAGUAACACGUGGAUAACCUACCUAUAAGACUGGGAUAACUUCGGGAAACCGGAGCUAAUACCGGAUAAUAUAUUGAACCGCAUGGUUCAAUAGUGAAAGACGGUUUUGCUGUCACUUAUAGCUGGAUCCGCGCCGCAUUAGCUAGUUGGUAAGAUAACGGCUUACCAAGGCAACGAUGCGUAGCCGACCUGAGAGGGUGAUCGGCCACACUGGAACUGAGACACGGUCCAGACUCCUACGGGAGGCAGCAGUAGGGAAUCUUCCGCAAUGGGCGAAAGCCUGACGGAGCAACGCCGCGUGAGUGAUGAAGGUCUUCGGAUCGUAAAACUCUGUUAUUAGGGAAGAACAAAUGUGUAAGUAACUAUGCACGUCUUGACGGUACCUAAUCAGAAAGCCACGGCUAACUACGUG
rnacentral:rRNA from 1 species